AUGGACCGCAUCCGGACAGCAGUGGCGUGCGUCGAAGGUCUUGGUGUACCCCGUGGAUCUCGGAUGUUCAAGCAUGCGCUACAAGCUGUUGCAUUCCUCAGCAAGGACAAAAUCACCGCCAAUGUAGAGCACUUGAAGAAAAUGUUCAGGUGGUCGGAUGCCGAGGUGGGCAUUGCUGUUUCUAAGGCUCCAAAGCUCCUGUCAAGGACCAAGGAAUUUCUGCACUUUAGGUCCGAGUUCCUCAUCUCCGAGGUGGGCUUGGAACCGGCAUACAUUGUUUAUCGUCCAGCAAUGCUCAUGUACAGCUUGGAGGGCAGGCUCAGACCCCGAUACUACGUUGUAAAGUUUCUCAAGGAAAAUGGAUUGCUAAGUCGCAAUCGGGAUUACUAUUCCGCAGUCAAGAUAACCGAGAAGGAAUUUGUGGAGAAGUUCAUAUGCCCUCACAAGGAAGCUGCACCACACCUUGCUAAAGAUUAUGCGGCAGCCUGCAAAGAUGAAGUGCCGACUAGAUUCAGAUUUACAUGA
rnacentral:rRNA from 1 species